UAUCUCGUAGAGUCUGCAUAUCAAUAAGCGGAGGAAAAGAAACUAACUAGGAUUCCCUCAGUAACGGCGAGUGAAGCGGGAAGAGCUCAAAUUUGAAAUCUUCAAGGUUCUACCUUGACGAAUUGUAGUUUAAAGAAGUGUUUUCUGUUGGAGUUUUGGUAAAAGUUCUUUGGAAUAGGACAUCAUAGAGGGUGAGAAUCCCGUAUUUGACCAUUAUUUCCAGCUUUGUGAUACACUUUCAAAGAGUCGGAUUGUUUGGGAAUGCAGUCCAAAAUGGGUGGUAAAUUUCAUCUAAAGCUAAAUACUGGCGAGAGACCGAUAGCGAACAAGUACCGUGAGGGAAAGAUGAAAAGAACUUUGAAAAGAGAGUUAAACAGUACGUGAAAUUGUCAAAAGGGAAGCGUUUGACACCAGUGUUGUUUUCUCGAAAAUCAAUUAAAAAAGGCAGGAUUUUGUGUUGUAUUGACUUUAUCAGCUUUCUGCACUCUUUUCUUGUCUUUUUUAAUGCACUUUUCGUUUAACAGGUCAACAUCAAUUUCUUUUGUUGUAAAAGGGUCAUUGGAAGGUGGCUUUCUUUUCGGAGAAAGUGUUUAUAGCCUUUGGCCUCUGCAAUCGGAGAGAUUGCGGUCCUGCAGCGUAGAUCCUUCGGGGUUAGAUACAUUUGUGCUAAGUUAUAGCCUUUCAUAGACAACUUGUUGACUAUGAUCAGUCAUGUAGCUUACUCGCUUAUGCUAUUUUACCUACGCUUAGGAUGUUGACGAUCAGCUGAGCGCG
rnacentral:rRNA from 1 species